rnacentral:rRNA from 1 species
GACAGAGGUCCCGAGCGUUGUUCGGAUUCAUUGGGCGUAAAGGGUGUGUAGGAGGUCGGGUAAGUCAGGUGUGAAAUCUCACAGCUUAACUGUGAAACUGCGCUUGAUACUGCUCGGCUAGAGGAUCGGAGGGGGUAACGGAAUUUAUGGUGUAGCAGUGAAAUGCGUAGAUAUCAGGAAGAACACCCGUGGCUAAGGCGGCUCUCUAGUACGGUACUGACGCUGAGACGCGAAAGCGUGGGGAGCGAACAGG